GGGGGGGGGGGGGGGGGGGGGGGGCGGGGGGGGGGGGGGUGGGGGGGGGGGUUGGGGCGGGGGUGUGGGGGGCGGAGGGGUGAGUGACGCGUGGAGGACUUGCCUCGCAGCUAGGGACAACGGUUGGCAACGGAUGCUAAUACCUGAUAUUCUGCUCAUAGGGCAUCCUAUAAUUCUGAAAUCUAUAAGCGCUGUGAGAGAGCGUUGCGUCCCAUUAGCUAGUUGGAGAGGUAACGGCUCACCAAGGCGAUGAUGGGUAGCCGGCCUGAGAGGGUGAUCGGCCACAAGGGGACUGAGACACGGCCCUUACUCCUACGGGAGGCAGCAGUGGGGAAUAGUGGACAAUGGACCAAGAGUCUGAUCCAGCAAUUCUGUGUGCACGAUGAAGUUUUUCGGAAUGUAAAGUGCUUUCAGUUGGGAAGAAAGAAAUGACGGUACCAACAGAAGAAGUGACGGCUAAAUACGUG
rnacentral:rRNA from 1 species